UACGUAGGGCGCAAGCGUUAUCCGGAAUUAUUGGGCGUAAAGAGCUCGUAGGCGGUUUGUCGCGUCUGCCGUGAAAGUCCGGGGCUCAACUCCGGAUCUGCGGUGGGUACGGGCAGACUAGAGUGAUGUAGGGGAGACUGGAAUUCCUGGUGUAGCGGUGAAAUGCGCAGAUAUCAGGAGGAACACCAAUGGCGAAGGCAGCGCGCUGGGACGGUACUGACGCUGAGGGACGAAAGCUAGGGGAGCGAAUGGG
rnacentral:rRNA from 1 species